rnacentral:rRNA from 1 species
AUUGAACGCUGGCGGCAGGCCUAACACAUGCAAGUCGAACGGUAGCACAGAGAGCUUGCUCUUGGGUGACGAGUGGCGGACGGGUGAGUAAUGUCUGGGAAACUGCCCGAUGGAGGGGGAUAACUACUGGAAACGGUAGCUAAUACCGCAUAACGUCUUCGGACCAAAGUGGGGGACCUUCGGGCCUCACACCAUCGGAUGUGCCCAGAUGGGAUUAGCUAGUAGGUGGGGUAAAGGCUCACCUAGGCGACGAUCCCUAGCUGGUCUGAGAGGAUGGCCAGCCACACUGGAGCUGAGACACGGUCCAGACUCCUACGGGAGGCAGCAGUGGGGAAUAUUGCACAAUGGGCGCAAGCCUGAUGCAGCCAUGCCGCGUGUAUGAAGAAGGCCUUCGGGUUGUAAAGUACUUUCAGCGGGGAGGAAGGCGUUAAGGUUAAUAACCUUGGCGAUUGACGUUACCCGCAGAAGAAGCACCGGCUAACUCCGUGCCAGCAGCCGCCGCCG